rnacentral:misc_RNA from 1 species
GAUGAAGAACGUAGCGAAAUGCGAUAAGUAAUGCGAAUUGCAGAAUUUCCGUGAGUCAUCGAAUCUUUGAACGCACAUUGCGCCCACUGGUAUUCCGGUGGGCAUGCCUGUUCGAGCGUCAUUAUCCUCCCUCAAACCUCGGGUUUGGUGUUGGACCCAAGUUGUGUGAACAACUGGUCUCAAAGACAAUGACGGCGUCCGUGGGACCCUCGGUGCAACGAGCUUUUAAACGAGCACGCGUCGAGUUUCAAGGACCUUCCGGGCCGGUCUCCUUCUUUUAUUUACAAAGGUUGACCUCGGAUCAGGUAGGACUACCCGCUGAACUUAAGCAUAUCAAUAAGCGGAGGA